rnacentral:rRNA from 1 species
GGGAUAACACCUGGAAACAGAUGCUAAUACCGGAUAACAACACUAGACGCAUGUCUAGAGUUUGAAAGAUGGUUCUGCCAUCACUCUUGGAUGGACCUGCGGUGCAUUAGCUAGUUGGUAAGGUAACGGCUUACCAAGGCAAUGAUGCAUAGCCGAGUUGAGAGACUGAUCGGCCACAUUGGGACUGAGACACGGCCCAAACUCCUACGGGAGGCAGCAGUAGGGAAUCUUCCACAAUGGACGAAAGUCUGAUGGAGCAACGCCGCGUGAGUGAAGAAGGGUUUCGGCUCGUAAAGCUCUGUUGGUAGUGAAGAAAGAUAGAGGUAGUAACUGGCCUUUAUUUGACGGUAAUUACUUAGAAAGUCACGGCUAACUACGUGCCAGCAGCCGCGGUAAUACGUAGGUGGCAAGCGUUGUCCGGAUUUAUUGGGCGUAAAGCGAGUGCAGGCGGUUCAAUAAGUCUGAUGUGAAAGCCUUCGGCUCAACCGGAGAAUUGCAUCAGAAACUGUUGAACUUGAGUGCAGAAGAGGAGAGUGGAACUCCAUGUGUAGCGGUGGAAUGCGUAGAUAUAUGGAAGAACACCAGUGGCGAAGGCGGCUCUCUGGUCUGCAACUGACGCUGAGGCUCGAAAGCAUGGGUAGCGAACAGGAUUAGAUACCCUGGUAGUCCAUGCCGUAAACGAUGAGUG